rnacentral:snoRNA from 1 species
AGAAGGCAGAGGAUGAGAAAGGUUUUAAUGGGUAAUUUGCAACUGAUCUCUGUGAUGAUCACUCGCCUUCACCUUGGAGAACUGAUGCCUUCG